CAGGCAGGGAGAAGUAGGGCUGAAGCUGGGUUUAGAGCCUGGCACUGCUAUCACCAGCUGACAGCCGAGAAACGAACGGGCAGAAUGAGGAUCUGAGGCUGCGGUCAGGGGUUUUGGAGCCAGACUCAUCAUCCCUGGCCUCCUGACUCAAGGCUCUUCCUGCCACCGAGGCAGAAUCAUACCUCGCUGGGCCAUGGCUAUUGAAGGGGGACCGUCCUCCCACUAACCACAGAUUCUGACCUUCACAGCUUAGAAUGAAAAAAAUGCAGGGAAUGGAGGCAUUUGAGGAGUCUACGCUGGGCCCUUCAAAUACUGCAUCUCUGAGAUCAAUAUCGACCUUCUGAAAAGGCCCUGGCUACUUACAAGCUUCUGCUCACACCUAGUGCCCAAAUGCUCACAUUCUCACUAAACACAACCUCAGCACCAUGGGGGUGGGGGAGGAGACACGGAAGGGUCUGUUCUCCUUGCAUGUAGAAGCAGCCAGGCACCCAGUUUACCCUGAAUCUGGAAACUUCUGCACUCAGAAUCCUGGAUUCCAUUCCCCAGUCAACUGCAGGUCCCAGCUGAAGCAGAGUCUCAGAAGAUCAAGCGUUUGCCCAAAGUCUCAGAGUCUGGGAAGAAAGGGCAGGCCCACUCACUGGUGAUGCUGGAGCUCUGGCCAAAGAACCAAAGUCACCCAGUGAGUUCACGGGGACACACAGCUCCACCUCCAGCACAGCUUCAGACACCUCCAGCUGGGACCGCCACUGCAGCCCUGCACCUCUCUCUCCUCUCCAGUGGCAGGCACCCCAGCCUGUGCCACUGCCACUGCUCAGGGUGAGCCACAUGCCCCCUGGGCACCCUCUGCUGGCAUAUGUCAGAUAUUGCUCUCACAGACUUUAUCACUACCACAAGCCUGUAAAACAAGUUUUAGCCUAUCCCCCUUCUGUUUGUAGAUGAGGAAGGAGGUUUGAUCUGCCCAAGGACCCCCAGCUGCAGCCCUCCUGCAUGGCUGCCUGUCGCCCACCAGCUGAGCAGAGGAGCUGCUGUUAACAGCACCCUUUCCAUUUCUAAUCUGAAGGCAGCCCCUGCAGUGACAGAGUCCCAGUGUCACCCAUCACCCCAGCAGCUCGGGGGCCCUGGAGACCCCCUUGAUGAAUGACCUUAGCAGGAAAGAGGAAUCUGGCCCCUCUCCGUGCCCUACACCCACAGCCAAACGGUGGCUUCUCACCACUCCAGCUUCCUUUCCAAGAGUCCAAGCUCCUACCAUGGCUUCCACACUAUUCAGACAGGUCAUUCUAGUUCUUUGCCACUUGCAGGGAAAUCAGCACUGAAAAUGCAAAUCAGCAACAGGACGCAGCCCAGAAACUAAGGGUAGGGCCAGGGGAUCCUGCCAAGGGCUGGCAAUCUAGGGCGAGUCUCUCCCCUCCAGGUUCGUCUCCUCUUGAUGGAUAGACCAAUUCGCCUCCAGCUCUAUGUGCCCAGCCACCUUUUUGUGAUUAAUAUUUCAACUGAUUACAUGAG
rnacentral:lncRNA from 13 species